CGUGUUGGUGCGUGGUGGAUGAGUUGGCCUUGGCGAUGACUACUCUGUUAGCUACCUGCAAAAAAAAAAAAUAAGGUACGGAAUCUGUAGUACUGAGUGAUAAUUAGACUGUGUCCGGCUGUAAUCUGAAGAUGAAUUAUUUCUGAUGUAAGCAGUCAACCGAAGGACACUAACAAAUAGUAAUGAGGACAAAGAGCACCGUGUUGCUAUGUGUGCACAUGUAAGUGUGCACUCAUCCAAGCAACAGUAACGCGAUACUUUUAUGAGGAAGAAAGAAACGGUGCCAGACAAUGCAUCAGUGGAGGAUGGUGAAGAGGAGUAGGGACAUCACAUUUGUCAUCAGGCAGGAGUCAAAGCACUGAAAAACACUUUCAUUAACCCAAUUACCAUCAGAGGCCAAUAUUACAAUGGAUGACUCGCAAUAACUUUUGUGAUGCUUCAACACUCAGCUGUCCAACAUCUGACAUCUGAUGACAUCAACUUUUACAUCAUCACUAUACCCGCUUCAAAACUGCAUAAGCAGGGCAUUGUCCCUGUCCUCCCUCCCAUCCCUCACACCAGAAAAAAAACUUGGCCCAACCUGCAGGCGAGUGUACAGCAAAGGCCGUGAAACCAUCCAUCUAUAUCCAUUCUCUCUCUCUCACUCCCUAAAUGUGUGACAGAGGUCACCUUGGAACCAGACACUUUGUAAAUGUACAGCAGAGGAGGUAGACACACCUACACACAAGCACUCAGCCCUCGUUCUGUCCUUGUCCAUGGCUAACCCUCCCUGUCUCUGUAUCCGGAGAAAUCCUUUCCUCUCUCCCUGCUCUGACCUCCUCUGUCACUGACUUCCACUUUAACCUCCUCCUUGCUCAUCUCUCGUCUCCCGGCCUCCAGAGCCAAACCAACAAUGUCACACAGAGAACACUGGGAAUUCCCCACGAAGCAUCUACAACUACAGCUGUUAUUUCCAUUAAAUCAAGUAUUAAAGAUACAGUAUGUAGA